rnacentral:rRNA from 1 species
UUCCGUAGGUGAACCUGCGGAAGGAUCAAUA